rnacentral:rRNA from 1 species
AUGCAAGACUACUUCACGGAAAAUCCUACAUAUCCACCACACCUCUUCUGGAGAAGGUACCGAAUGCGCCGAUCUCUUUUUGUGAAAAUUGUUCAAGCUUGUGAGGCAAAUUGCCAGUAUUUUACUCAAAGAAGAAAUGUUGCGGGCUUAAAGGGAUUUAGUGCAUAUCAAAAAAUCUCCGCAGCUAUGCGGAUGAUUGCAUAUGGCGUUCCGGCUGACUAUGUCGAUGAGUACUGA